rnacentral:rRNA from 1 species
UACAGAGGUCCCAAGCGUUGUCCGGAUUUACUGGGCGUAAAGAGCGCGCAGGCGGUCGUCCAAGUCGCGUGUGAAAGCCCCCGGCUCAACUGGGGAGGGUCACGCGAUACUGGUCGACUCGAAGGCAGGAGAGGGUAGUGGAAUUCCCGGUGUAGUGGUGAAAUGCGUAGAUAUCGGGAGGAACACCAGUGGCGAAGGCGACUACCUGGCCUGUUCUUGACGCUGAGGCGCGAAAGCUAGGGGAGCAAACGGGG